AAUCACACAGCAAGCUGAGAAGACAUCUGAGAGCCCGUUGGGAAUUCGCAGUGUCCCCCCGCUGAGCAGCAAACCCUGGCGCAUCCCGAGGGCCGAUGCGAGCAGCGUGCGUCUCCUGGAGCUUUGCAGGAGGCAUAUGGACCUGGUGCGACUUCCUUCUCGAGUUUGCCAGCCCAACGGCACGGCCCAUUUCUUCCUUAGAAGGAUAAAUGGAUGUUAUCUGAAGAAGGCAGUCGCUGUCCCAUAACCGUGCGCUCCGGGCGUGGGGACCGUAAUUGGCACCUACGGGAAAGCAGACUAUCAGAGACCACGCUCCCCUUCUGAACACAGUUGUGCUUCGGACCAGCACUGCGUACAGAUUA